rnacentral:misc_RNA from 1 species
GGAAGGAUCAUUAACACUCAGUUGUGCUUGCUGUUGAUAGCUUCGGUUACCAACACAACACACUCAACACCACUUCUUGUUAACUAAAAACAAACGUCACCGUUCCGGGUUUGUAUGUCGGCUCUUCAAUGAGCAAGCUGCUUGCAGUGACAUACGAGCCUGUUGACCCCCUCAUUUUUUACACCCCUUCUUUGCUUGAACACUCCUCCUCGGAGUGAAAUUUGAAUGCUCAAUUAUAUAUACAAUAUAACCAAAUUCCACAACAACUUUUGGCAGUGGAUAUCUUGGCUCUUGCAUCGAUGAAGAACGCAGCAAAUUGCGAUAACUAAUGUGAAUCGCCAGAACUCUGUGAAUCAUCAAAACUUUGAACGCACAUGGCAGCCGGCGUUGAGCCGGCUAUGCCUGUUUGAGAAUUGGUAUUAUCUCUCACCAACCGGCUUUCGGGUCGGUCUGGUGGAUGCUGAGGUUGACACAAUGUCUCCCUUUAAUAGCACGUGUGACACCCGUGAUGCGAUCAGCAAUGAAAGAAACUGACCUCAUGGCACCGUCUCCCUAUAUUACAAUAUAGAGCAGACGCGUGUGUCCGGCCUGUUCGAUUAGUUCUGUAUUUAGCAACGCGGAAUUGGAACACGAUAUGUAUUUACCCUAUUAAUCUCAAAUCAGGUAAGAGUACCCGCUGAACUUAAGCAUAUUACUAAGCGGAGGAAAAGAAACUAACUAGGAUUCCCUCAGUAACAGCGAGUGAACAGGGAAAAGCUCAAAGUUGAAAUCGGAGAGGGUUCGUCCUAAUCCGAGUUGUACUUUGGAGAGGUUGUUCUGGAUGGCGCCGGGUAUAAGUUUGCCUCAGAUUGCGGCGUCAAAGAGGGUGAAAACCCCGUAUUUGACCCGGAAAGUCCAUCUAUUACGAGCAACUAUCGAAGAGUCAGGCUGUUUGGGAUUGCAGCCCUAAGUGGGUGGUAUGUUUCAUCUAAAGCUAAAUAUCUGCAAGAGACCGAUAGCGAACAAGUACCGCGAGGGAAAGAUGAAAAGAACUUUGAAAGAGAGUGAUAAUAGUCCUUGAAACUGCCAAAGGGACAAGCGUUAGGCACUGUUGUUGCGUUUCGCGUUUUGCAUUUAUUCUUUUCUGGCGGCGCAGCGCGGCGGAGCCUCACGGCCCACGCGAGGUGAGUACAACGCCCAGAGAGAGUGUUUGUCGAACGUGUUUCUGCCGGUCAACGACACUUUUCGAACCUCCCUUAUUCGGCCUUUGGAGUCUCGCUUCAUUGGUUUCCAGGGAGUGGUUCUGAGUGCGACGUCGGUCCUGCGGGAUCGACCAUUGGUGAGGCAACUUGGUCGUGGACAGUUCGCCGCCGUUUGGGAUGCACUGCCUAGCAGAGCGCUCAUCGGCAGAGUUCUAUCGUCCUAGCCGCUGCCCACCUUUGGCGUUGACUGCCCCACGGUUUCUAACGUCCCGUCUUGAAACACGGACCAAGGAGUCUAGCAUAUAUGCGAGUAUUCGGGUGGCAAACCCAUCGAAUGCGCAAUGAAAGUAAAGGGCCUUAACCGGUCUAAGGUAGGAAUCCGCAAGGAGGCACUAUCGACCGAUCUGGAGGUUCGCUGAAGGAUUCGAGUUAGAGCAUAUCUGCUAGGACCCGAAAGACGGUGAACUAUGCCUGUAUAGGGUAAAGCCAGAGGAACUCUGGUGGAAGCUCGUAGCGAUACUGACGUGCAAAUCGUUCGUCAAAUAUGGGUAUAGGGGCGAAAGACUAAUCGAACCGUCUAGUAGCUGGUUCCCUC